AAGAGCACCUCCAACGCAGGCUCAUAACAAGUCCUUAACCCAAAUCCUUAAGGUAAAAGGAUUAAAAAAAUAUUAAAAAAUUUGUGUACCUAAGAAUUGAUCCUUAAUUAAGAGAAUUAUGAGACUGAUCCUUAGUGCGCUGGCAUGACGCUAUUGGUUCUAGAGUUCCUUGUCUCUUUCUUCCUCUCGUUGAAUUUUUUUCAGAAAUUUGGUUUGAUCGACGAAGAGAAAAAAAAAAUGGGGCAACAGCAAUCGAAAGAGGAAUUGCUGUUUCAGUAAGUGAGAUACGGUAAGGCUGAAGGGAUCGAUCUCUUCGUCGCGAAGGAGCUGACCUCGAGUGGAUGGAUAGAGAAGGCAAAACGCCUUUUAUAAUGGCUUGCAUGAACUCCGAGCUUUACGAUCCAAGACUUUGAUCGAGUUGGGUGCUACUGUUAAUGCUUAUCGUCCUGGUACAACUUGAAUCAAAUAUAAUUGGGAUAUUGCUAUUGGGUUCA